rnacentral:rRNA from 1 species
UUUGAUCAUGGCUCAGAUUGAACGCUGGCGGCAGGCCUAACACAUGCAAGUCGAGCGGUAGAGAGAAGCUUGCUUCUCUUGAGAGCGGCGGACGGGUGAGUAAUGCCUAGGAAUCUGCCUGGUAGUGGGGGAUAACGUUCGGAAACGGACGCUAAUACCGCAUACGUCCUACGGGAGAAAGCAGGGGACCUUCGGGCCUUGCGCUAUCAGAUGAGCCUAGGUCGGAUUAGCUAGUUGGUGGGGUAAUGGCUCACCAAGGCGACGAUCCGUAACUGGUCUGAGAGGAUGAUCAGUCACACUGGAACUGAGACACGGUCCAGACUCCUACGGGAGGCAGCAGUGGGGAAUAUUGGACAAUGGGCGAAAGCCUGAUCCAGCCAUGCCGCGUGUGUGAAGAAGGUCUUCGGAUUGUAAAGCACUUUAAGUUGGGAGGAAGGGUUGUAGAUUAAUACUCUGCAAUUUUGACGUUACCGACAGAAUAAGCACCGGCUAACUCUGUGCCAGCAGCCGCGGUAAUACAGAGGGUGCAAGCGUUAAUCGGAAUUACUGGGCGUAAAGCGCGCGUAGGUGGUUUGUUAAGUUGGAUGUGAAAUCCCCGGGCUCAACCUGGGAACUGCAUUCAAAACUGACUGACUAGAGUAUGGUAGAGGGUGGUGGAAUUUCCUGUGUAGCGGUGAAAUGCGUAGAUAUAGGAAGGAACACCAGUGGCGAAGGCGACCACCUGGACUAAUACUGACACUGAGGUGCGAAAGCGUGGGGAGCAAACAGGAUUAGAUACCCUGGUAGUCCACGCCGUAAACGAUGUCAACUAGCCGUUGGAAGCCUUGAGCUUUUAGUGGCGCAGCUAACGCAUUAAGUUGACCGCCUGGGGAGUACGGCCGCAAGGUUAAAACUCAAAUGAAUUGACGGGGGCCCGCACAAGCGGUGGCAAUGUGGUUUAAUUCGAAGCAACGCGAAGAACCUUACCAGGCCUUGACAUCCAAUGAACUUUCCAGAGAUGGAUUGGUGCCUUCGGGAACAUUGAGACAGGUGCUGCAUGGCUGUCGUCAGCUCGUGUCGUGAGAUGUUGGGUUAAGUCCCGUAACGAGCGCAACCCUUGUCCUUAGUUACCAGCACGUCAUGGUGGGCACUCUAAGGAGACUGCCGGUGACAAACCGGAGGAAGGUGGGGAUGACGUCAAGUCAUCAUGGCCCUUACGGCCUGGGCUACACACGUGCUACAAUGGUCGGUACAGAGGGUUGCCAAGCCGCGAGGUGGAGCUAAUCCCAUAAAACCGAUCGUAGUCCGGAUCGCAGUCUGCAACUCGACUGCGUGAAGUCGGAAUCGCUAGUAAUCGCGAAUCAGAAUGUCGCGGUGAAUACGUUCCCGGCCUUGUACACACCGCCCGUCACACCAUGGGAGUGGGUUGCACCAGAAGUAGCUAGUCUAACCUUUCGGGAGGACGGUCACAAAGGUGUGAUUCAUGAUUGGGG